UACGUAGGGUGCAAGCGUUGUCCGGAAUUAUUGGGCGUAAAGAGCUCGUAGGCGGUCUGUCGCGUCGGCUGUGGAAAACCCGAGGCUCAACCUCGGGCCUGCAGUGGGUACGGGCAGACUAGAGUGCGGUAGGGGAGAUUGGAAUUCCUGGUGUAGCGGUGGAAUGCGCAGAUAUCAGGAGGAACACCGAUGGCGAAGGCAGAUCUCUGGGCCGUAACUGACGCUGAGGAGCGAAAGCAUGGGGAGCGAACAGG
rnacentral:rRNA from 1 species